AUGGAAUUGUAGAAGAAACAACAGCGACAGCUCUAACAAUUGAAACUAAACAAAACUUAACACUAAAACCUAAAAAUAAAUAGCAACUGCACUGAAGUGUACUGCAUAUUUAAUAGUUAAGAAUCCUGAAUAUUUACCCGUCCAACAGCGUCUUCAAAUCCCAAAUCCUGCUAAUCUUUUUUUUUUAUUUCGUUACCAAAAUGAGCGUUAUCCCGGCCUUACCCCACAAGAAACUAUUGUGAUUUGUGAACUUAAUCUAAUAGACAGUAAGUAGUUUAAUACAGUAUAUAAUGGGUUGCAAUUAUAUGUGAGGAUUUUUAAUUAAUGAGGUAUAUCACAGUCAUAAUGUCACUUUGUUUGAGGCACCAUUUUACCAAAUGGAAUCAUUGCGUACGUACCAGAGACUAUCCCUUUUUUAUUUUUUGUUUCCCGUCAGGGAAGAAACCCGAAUAUAAUAAAAUUAUAGAGAAAAUAGGAAAAAAUCGAAGACUCUCAUAAGGGACUGGUCAUAAAGUAACUGCUAGGGUGGGCUGGAGGUAAAUCACAAAUUUUGCCAAUAAGUUUGGUGACCCAUCUUAGGAUGUAGAUAAAAAUUUCAAAGCCCAUCUAAUCUUGCCAAAUUUAUUUCAUGACCCACCCACCCAAUCUAAAUUGGGAAAAUACAAUUUUAUAACAAAAAAAAACUUGCAAGUAUGAACAUUGUAAAUAUACACCGGCACUGUAUUGACAUACAUAAUUCCACCAAGCUUGACCAACACAUUCAUCACCAAUUACGAUACUGAGCUGCUCUCCAGUUGGUUGUACUUGCUGUGAUUCGACUACUUCUUGUUGUUGUAUAAAACAAAGCACUGGCUUCAAUAGCAUGCAUCAUUUGCAUUUGAUAAUUUGGAUAAUUUUGUUUAGCUACUUUUAUUAUUAUUAUCUUUAUGUAAUAUAUAAUUAACGUGGGUUUUUGUGUGGUGGCCCAACCGUGGACACACCAAAAAAUUGGCGACCCAUCGAAACUGCCCAAAGAUUUUCCAUGGCCCAUCCCAAAUCACUCCAGCCCACCCUAGCAGUUACUUUAUGACCGGUCCCUAAAUGAAAGGAAACGAAGGGCAUUGAUAUUAAAGUGCUUAUGUCACAAAAAUUAUUUUUUGAUAUUUGGUAGAGGACAAAAAGUUAGUUAAUAGGUUCUUUAACAUUUUUCGGUUUUCUCUUUUCAUUCGCGAGAUACGAGGCUCUAAACAGCGAUUUUCGUAAAAUUGUCGCGUAUCAACAAGAGUCUGGGACGAGCGUGGUGUGACGUAGCUUAAGGGACUUAAUUUCGACGCGCAUUAUACAUUUGAUAUAUUUUCCAGCAUGUCAGGCAUUAGCUCGGAUUCGGAAAGCAUUCAUAGUUCUCAAUGUGACUCAGAAUACAAUUAUAUUCCUGGAUAUAUUAUAGAGGAUGAAUCAAAUGAUACUAGUCACGAAAUUGGAACUCUAGAAGCAGUUGAUAGCGAAAUUUUAGGCGAUUAUGAUGCAUGCCUUUAUGCCGAUGAACCGCUAGCCGGCGAAGAAUGGUACGCACGAUAUUUCAGAAAUUCAGCAGAACACAAGCAACAAAAAGAGAUGCUACAGCGAAGGUUAGAUGGCCUUGAAGAUAUUAAAUUAUUGUGAGUGUAAACAUAGAUUUAUUUUAACAUUUUAACGUAAAAUAAGUAUCUCUGGCUAAUAUAUUUUGCGGGAUACGGGCUCAUAUGGCAUCAAUCACAACAAAGAGUUUAUAAAACCACACUUCCCUCACCUUCGCAAGAAAAUACAAGACACGAGAUCAAAGAAAAUAUAAACAGACUGGUUCAGAGCAAAUUACGUAUAUAUUCUUGUUUGAAGCACAGUGUUUAUCUGUGAUCACGUUUAUUUAAUACGAACGAUUGAACGAUUGUAUUUUCUCGCAAGUUCAAUUCUUAAAGCCCAUUUUUCCAAAAUAGAAUAGAAUAGAAUAGAAACUUUAUUUCACGAGGGAAAACGUAUUAACCGUAAAAGUUAUCUAACAUACGGCCCUCGCACUAUUUUGAUAUUUACAGGCAUAAAAAGUAUUAAGGAUUACGACUAUUUACAUUUGAGAAAAAAAUAAUUAGUAAUGAAUACAAUUACAAUUUAGUAAAUAUUUACAAUUUAUACAAAAUAGAUCUUCGAUAUGGUUAGUAAGGGUAAGCUUGUUAAGAAAGAUUUUACGAAUUUUUUGUUUGGCGUUAGCAUAGAAUAAAGAUCCAUAUAGAAGGGCCACUCAGGGGUGCAACGUGUCCUCGUUUUUUUAUGCAAAAAUAUGCAGUUUACUGGCCAGAAGGCGGAGCAGCCAGCCAGUACAGCGUGUUUAUUGGCCAAAAAAUGUCAUUGACUGGCUAGGAAAAUGGCGGCCAACAUGCGUAAUGCGACAUGCGCGAGGACAGAAACUUCAAAGCUUCCGACGUAAGUGGCCCUUCUAUAUGGAUCUUUAUUC